rnacentral:lncRNA from 1 species
CUCAUUUGGAGCCUUAAUCGUGGACAAAGAGUAGUAUUCAUGUUUAGUUCAGGACCUGGCACCCCGGCAAGUGCUAAGUAAGGGCAGAGUCAAUGUACUUCUAAAGACCAGUGCUCAUUCCCUUGGUAACUGGGUCUCCUCCCCCAGGACACAGCCCAAAAGGUGACCUUUUCCUUCCCUGGAUCUUGGCUGUUUAUCAUUCUGAUCUGCCAGCACCUCCCCCCGUUCAGGAUAGACUAUCACAGGACUUCCUGGGACGUGCACAGAGGGCAUCCUGGCCAGCCGCUUGCCGGAACUCAUGUCAGAUGCCUGCAAGGUCAUCCAGAUGGCCGGAAGCUUGUUGCGUACUGCUGAAUGUUCUCAGCACCAACGCGGUUGUGGAAGCCACGGGUCUGAAAAGAUUGCUCCAGGAGACAGUGUGCUGUGAGGAUGGAGGCGGGGAGAGGAGGAAUCGCUGAUGAGAUCCUGGGGGACACUGACGCCUAAGGGGCUCUGAGGAAGAGGAGACCCAGAAGGGCCGGCACAGAAAGUGCCAGAUGUCCAGGGGAUGGUCUGCAGGGGGGAAGCUACAAAGUGGACGAGUAAGUGAGCACCAAAAGGUGUCCCCUGGACUUAGCACUCCAGAAGCCAUCGGUGACCUUGGCAGGGGCCUUCUUUUAUUUCUUUACCAAGUGGGGAGGAGACUGGAGCAGGCAAAGCAGGAACCUAAUAGCAGUGGGUUGAAGAAAGGCUGGGAGGGAGCAAGGUGGGCUCAGCCAGUGCAGACUUCUCUUCCAGGAAUGAGGAAGCAGCAGGGGGAUGCUAGAUGGAAGGGUGGCUUUGGGGAUUUGGGUUUAGGUUGUUGUUGUUAUUGUUUUUUUAAACUGGGAAUAUCCUUAGCAAAUUUAUAUGCUGAGGAAAAGGAGCCGGCAGAGGUAAGGCUGAAGAUGUCAGUGAAAGAGGGGGGUGAAGGCAAGAGGUGGCCGAGGCCACACCCUGAGGGGUCCAAGCCGCAGACUGGAGAACAUCCCUUCCUCUCCUGGGGAGGAGGGAGCUGUGACAGGUGCUGUCCGGUGGCCUCUAUUUCCUCUGACAAAUGGGAGACAGAGAGUGACGGGGACCAACAGAGAAGAGUGGUGGAGUUUGUAACAACCAGUUUGGGAGAACAGGAGGAGGUUGCCAAGAGACACAGCUGAAGGGCAGUGGGCGGUCCCCACAGGUGUCACGUUGUCCCAGCAGCGAUAAACCUAGGCUUCUUUGUGAAUGCUGGUUACGUCUGUAGCUCUUAAGCUCCUUAAGCUCAUUCACCAUCUCCUUUCUUAUUGGUUUCACCAGCAGGAGGUGACGCUUUCUCCAGGUUCUAAGGACAGCACAUCAUGGCCACCC